UACGGGGGGGGCAAGCGUUGUUCGGAAUUACUGGGCGUAAAGGGUUCGUAGGUGGCCAACUAAGUCAGACGUGAAAUCCCUCAGCUCAACUGGGGAACUGCGUCUGAUACUGGUUGGCUUGAGUGCAGGAGAGGAACGCGGAAUUCCAGGUGUAGCGGUGAAAUGCGUAGAUAUCUGGAGGAACACCGGUGGCGAAGGCGGCGUUCUGGACUGCAACUGACACUGAGGAACGAAAGCCAGAGGAGCAAACGGG
rnacentral:rRNA from 1 species